rnacentral:lncRNA from 1 species
CUGUGUCCCCAGGAGGAGACCUCACGUACGUGAUGCCCAGGGAGCCGGAGCCAGCACAGGCCAGUGGGAAAGAGCAGAUCCCUCCACAGCGGUGAGGAGAUGGUCAUGGAGGACAGGCACCCGGAAUCAGGGAAAGAGCGGAUCCAUCCACAGCGGUGAGGAGAUGGUCAUGGAGGACAGGCACCCGGAAUCACGGAAACAGCAGAUCCAUCCACAGCGGUGAGGAGAUGGUCAUGGAGGUCAUGGAGGACAGGCACCCAGAAUCAGGGAAACAGCGGAUCCAUCCACAGCGGUGAGGAGAUGGUCAUGGAGGACAAGCACCCGGAAUCAGGGAAACAGCAGAUCCAUCCACAGCGGUGAGGAGAUGGUCAUGGAGGUCAUGGAGGACAGGCACCCGGAAUCAGGGAAACAGCGGAUCCAUCCACAGCGGUGAGGAGAUGGUCAUGGAGGACAGGCACCCGGAAUCAGGGAAAGAGCGGAUCCAUCCACAGCGGUGAGGAGAUGGUCAUGGAGGACAUGGAGGACAGGCACCCAGAAUCAGGGAAACAGCGGAUCCAUCCACAGCGGUGAGGAGAUGGUCAUGGAGGACAAGCACCCGGAAUCAGGGAAAGAGCGGAUCCAUCCACAGCGGUGAGGAGAUGGUCAUGGAGGACAAGCACCCGGAAUCAGGGAAACAGCAGAUCCAUCCACAGCGGUGAGGAGAUGGUCAUGGAGGUCAUGGAGGACAGGCACCCGGAAUCAGGGAAAGAGCGGAUCCAUCCACAGCGGUGAGGAGAUGGUCAUGGAGGACAGGCACCCAGAAUCAGGGAAAGAGCGGAUCCAUCCACAGCGGUGAGAAGAUGCUCAUGGAGGACAGGCACCCAGAAUCAGGGAAAGAGCGGAUCCAUCCACAGCGGUGAGGAGAUGGUCAUGGAGGACAUGGAGGACAGGCACCCAGAAUCAGGGAAACAGCGGAUCCAUCCACAGCGGUGAGGAGAUGCUCAUGGAGGACAGG